UAGGAGAUGAGCAGAAGAAAGCCAGUGAUGAUAUGUUGUCAAGGCAGCUCUGAAAAACAAGCUUUCGGAAGGUCACAGGCUUGAGCUUGUAACCUUGCUGCCAUUUGUCUGGAGUUGUACCAAGGAUAUCAAAAUCAUUCAGGUGUUGGAUGUUCGUGACCUUAAUAAACACAUGACACCUUUUAUUAUCUGAGGCUUCAAACCCCACUGCGUGAAAGGAGGAAUGGUGCUAAGUGAGGCAGAAAGGGGA